UGGGGAAUUUUGGACAAUGGGCGAAAGCCUGAUCCAGCAAUGCCGCGUGUGUGAAGAAGGCCUUCGGGUUGUAAAGCACUUUUGUCCGGAAAGAAAUCCUUGGCUCUAAUACAGUCGGGGGAUGACGGUACCGGAAGAAUAAGCACCGGCUAACUACGUGCCAGCAGCCGCGGUAAUACGUAGGGUGCAAGCGUUAAUCGGAAUUACUGGGCGUAAAGCGUGCGCAGGCGGUUUGCUAAGACCGAUGUGAAAUCCCCGGGCUCAACCUGGAACUGCAUUGGUGACUGGCAGGCUAGAGUAUGGCAGAGGGGGGUAGAAUUCCACGUGUAGCAGUGAAAUGCGUAGAGAUGUGGAGGAAUACCGAUGGCGAAGGCAGCCCCCUGGGCCAAUACUGACGCUCAUGCACGAAAGCGUGGGGAGCAAACAGGAUUAGAUACCCUGGUAGUCCACGCCCUAAACGAUGUCAACUAGUUGUUGGGGAUUCAUUUCCUUAGUAACGUAGCUAACGCGUGAAGUUGACCGCCUGGGGAGUACGGUCGCAAGAUUAAAACUCAAAUGAAUUGACGGGGUCAUAGCUG
rnacentral:rRNA from 1 species